GCACUCAAGUGAUCAUUGUUUGGGGCUCUGAAGUGAAGUUCUCGCACAAAUGCCGCCCUGGGGGAAGAGAUAGGUUCAAUAGAUUUAUCUCUUUUAGUUUGUCUCCUAUUUUGAGUUCAACUGCUUGGAGGUGGCUUCUCGGAGGAAAUAGUGCUGGGCUGUGAUUGUCCUCAGCCCCAAUAGGAGACCUGAUUCUCUUUCCUCCAACACCUGCCUCAGUGACCAAGCGUGCUGUUGAGCUAGGGGUGCGAGGUGCCACGUCAUAGAAUCAUUAUGGUUGGAAAAGACCACUAAGAUCCUCUAGUCCAACCAUCAACCCAUCACUGCCUGAACCCUGGCUCACCACGCUAUCAAGGCUGAGUUCAGCUGGGUGGAUGGAUGUCUCUCCAUAGAUGGGGAACCACGCUGUGUUUCUGCUGGUCACCCAGAAGCCAGUUAAUCACAACAAGCAGAGAAAUGCAGAAGCAGCACCUGCCAGGUGUCCAAGGGAGCGUUGUGUGAAAGUACUGGAGUGUCACUGCACAAACACCGAGGAAUUACACCCCUGCUGCUAGUGCAAAAGUUUUGUUCUGCCAGUGACCAUAAAGAUGGAAGACAAGCACAGCAUUUCGUGAGUUCCCUACUGCUGGAUGUUGAGGGUUGGGACCAAAACUGGGGCCCAAGGGGAUUGCUGUAAACUUUGGGCUCUGGUUUGUUCAGAUUGACCCCAACAGGUAUCACUGGAAGGUGCCUUGUAGAUCAGUUGUCUUCAGCUCAACAGCAGGGCUUUCUUGCAACCACGUGGUGAACGAGGCUAUACCUUUUGCUGCAGGAUGCCUUGGGAAAUGGCAGAUACCUUACUAGAUGCGAACAGCUGCUGCUGCCUUGGCCCAAACUACACAUGGGCUAGAACUUUCAGGCCUGAAAUAUUUUUGUCCUGUGGACAUCUGUCUUGUCCCCUCACAUCCAUAUGUCCUGAAUCUGGUGAGGACUGAAACAAACAGGUAUUACGAUAAGACUACCAUGUUGCUAAGAGCUCCUUUGAUUUGUGAGAACCAUGACUUUUCCCCAGGAGUACAGUGCCAGCUAGGGACAGGGCAGAGAUUUGGUGGCAUCUCUGUCCCUGGGGUCAUCAGCAUCUGCAUGGAUGAGGUCUUACACAACUUGAACUGUCUGUGAGUAGGAGACACCGAAAGAUCUCUUCACAUUGGAAUAUGCCCAGGAUUAAUGAAACGUCAUAUCAUGUCAUUAACUCUCAUGAAAAUGAUUCAUCACUGUGGUUUUAAGAAGACCCCCGCAUCAGAAGUAGGUUAUACUUAUAGAGAUAUGCUGAAGAUUUUACUUUAUGUUCUUUUGAGCAGAUUUCUCAUGGACUCUGAAGUUGGACCCUUCCCUCCUCCAUAGCUUUCUUUAAAGAUAAAAGACUACAGAGCAGGGAGGAGAUCUAUGACUCAGGCAUGGGCCGGAGGGACUUGCCUGCAUCCAUCCAUAUUCCAGGAGCCAAAGCACUUAACUGCUCCUUGGUGACCACCCGGACUUAACUGCACCAGAGGGAUGUGCCAGCUGCAAUCAUUUUCCAACAAAGACUAUUUUUUCCUUUUUGUAAACGUCAGUAAUAAGUCUUUAAGAACAGCUAACUGCCUGGCACAUCACUGCUCCAAAGGGGAGGACAGGGACAGGCUGGGAGCGUCCCCAGCUGCAGCGGGGUAGAAUUUUUGCUGGCCAGAGCAGUUGGUUUGAAGUUUCACUCCAUCAAAAAGCAACAGGAGUAUAAAUAAGUUUUACUGCAGUAGUUUAAAGCCAGCCAAGUUGGCCAGCAAGAGUAGAAACAACAGAAUGGUUUGGGCACUUUGAAACCCACCCCCAGCGCUGCUGACUUUAUGGCAAUGCUGUAUGUGCCUCUGAGGGUUGGGUCUUCCUCUUACUGCUCACAAAUGUCCUUCCUGAGCUUAAGGUUGGUGAGGACACUAACCCCAAGCUCACCCCUCAACUUAGCGUGGGAUGGUUGUACUUAGAAGCAUCAUCACACAGAGAGAACGGAAAAGAGUAAUAACCCAUUGCAGAGCACGAGGUAGGUGAUACAGAGCAAUAGGAAGCCCUGUGGUACGUGUCUGAAAGAAAGCACCGUGCUUCCCUCCUCCGCUCUGAGGAUGGGACGUGCCACCAAGCAACCACCUCUUAACUGAAAGCUCGAGGAGGGGAAGUGACGAAGAAAUGCGGCUGCUGCUGGGAAGCAAUGUGCUCCGCCUGCCUGCCCUCCAAGGCAUCCAAACAGCACUGAUGUCUGCUGCUCAGUUAGCAGCAGAGCCUCACUUUCUGCUUAAGCGGCCCACAAACUAAGCAUGCUGGAACCCAAACCCAAGGACCCUCUUCUGCACCCGAGCAGCCUCAAAAAGAGCUCACUCAGCCUGUCACCAGGUUGGACACAACUCUGGCACAGAGGACAGACUCAGGAAACCAGACCCUCCCAG
ensembl:lncRNA